GGCGAUUUCAGGCCCUUUUCAUA
rnacentral:siRNA from 1 species